rnacentral:tRNA from 1 species
GCGCUCGUAGCUCAGCGGAUAGAGCGUCGGCCUGCGGAGCCGAAGGCCGGGAGUUCAAGUCUCCCCGAGCGCACCA